rnacentral:lncRNA from 1 species
CCAAACCUCAUCCCAUCCCAAAACCGCCCACCGUUAAACCACCACCCUCCACCCCCAAACCGCCCACAAAACCACCCACCGUUAAACCGCCUCCAUCCACCCCUAAGCCGCCCACCAAACCACCCACCGUCAAACCACCACCCUCCACCCCAAAACCGCCCACCAAGCCACCCACCGUCAAACCACCUCCGUCCACCCCUAAACCACCUACCCACAAGCCACCAAUAGUGUGCCCACCGCCAACACCAACACCAACCCCACCUGUUGUAACGCCACCAACACCACCAACACCAACUCCACCAGUCGUUACGCCACCAACACCAGCUCCACCUGUUGUAACGCCACCAACACCAACACCACCGGUCGUAACGCCACCGACACCAACCCCUCCUGUCGUAACACCACCAACACCACCGGUCGUAACGCCACCGACACCAACCCCUCCUGUCGUAACACCACCAACACCACCGGUCGUAACGCCACCGACACCAACCCCUCCUGUCGUAACACCUCCAACACCACCGGUCGUAACGCCACCGACACCAACCCCUCCUGUCGUAAUACCUCCAACACCACCGGUCGUAACGCCACCGACACCAACCCCUCCUGUCGUAACACCACCAACACCAACUCCACCUAAGCCAGAAACAUGCCCAAUCGACACGUUGAAGCUAGGCGCUUGUGUAGACGUUCUUGGAGGUUUGAUUCACAUCGGGCUUGGUGGAAGUAGCGCCAAGAAAGAGAGUUGUCCGGUUUUGGGAGGCUUAG